rnacentral:rRNA from 1 species
GACGAACGCUGGCGGCGUGCUUAACACAUGCAAGUCGAACGGAAAGGCCCUGCUUUUGUGGGGUGCUCGAGUGGCGAACGGGUGAGUAACACGUGAGUAACCUGCCCUUGACUUUGGGAUAACUUCAGGAAACUGGGGCUAAUACCGGAUAGGAGCUCCUGCUGCAUGGUGGGGGUUGGAAAGUUUCGGCGGUUGGGGAUGGACUCGGGGCUUAUCAGGUUGUUGGUGGGGUAGUGGCUUACCAAGGCUUUGACGGGUAGCCGGCCUGGGAGGGUGACCGGCCCCAUUGGUACUGAGAUACGGCCCAGACUCCUACGGGCGGCAGCGGUGGGGAAUAUUGCACAAUGGGCGGACGCCUGAUGCAGCAACGCCGCGUUCGGGAUGACGGCCUUCGGGUUGUAAACCGCUUUCGCCUGUGACGAAGCGUGAGUGACGGUAAUGGGUAAAGAAGCACCGGCUAACUACGUG